AGUGAACGCUGGCGGUAGGCCUAACACAUGCAAGUCGAACGGCAGCACAGGAGAGCUUGCUCUCUGGGUGGCGAGUGGCGGACGGGUGAGGAAUACAUCGGAAUCUACUCUGUCGUGGGGGAUAACGUAGGGAAACUUACGCUAAUACCGCAUACGACAUAAGGGUGAAAGCAGGGGACCUUCGGGCCUUGCGCGAUUGCAUGAGCCGAUGUAGGAUUAGCUAGUUGGCGGGGUAAAGGCCCACCAAGGCGACGAUCCGUAGCUGGUCUGAGAGGAUGAUCAGCCACACUGGAACUGAGACACGGUCCAGACUCCUACGGGAGGCAGCAGUGGGGAAUAUUGGACAAUGGGCGCAAGCCUGAUCCAGCCAUACCGCGUGGGUGAAGAAGGCCUUCGGGUUGUAAAGCCCUUUUGUUGGGAAAGAAAUCCAGCUGGCUAAUACCCGGUUGGGAUGACGGUACCCAAAGAAUAAGCACCGGCUAACUUCGUGCCAGCCGCCGCCGUAA
rnacentral:rRNA from 1 species